rnacentral:rRNA from 1 species
CCUGGCGGCAAUAGCGCGGUGGUCCCACCUGACCCCAUGCCGAACUCAGAAGUGAAACGCCGUAGCGCCGAUGGUAGUGU